GGGAAUUUAGCUAAGUGGCAUAAGCACCUGCCUUGCAGGCAGGCGGUCCUGAGUUCAAUCCCCG
rfam:Cavia porcellus supercont2_36 genomic scaffold, whole genome shotgun sequence.